GAUGAAGAACGUAGUGAAAUGCGAUAAGUAAUGUGAAUUGCAGAAUUCAGUGAAUCAUCGAAUCUUUGAACGCACAUUGCGCCCCCUGGUAUUCCGGGGGGCAUGCCUGUCCGAGCGUCAUUACAACCCUCAAGCUCAGCUUGGUGUUGGGCCCCGCCGCCCCGGCGGGCCCUAAAGUCAGUGGCGGUGCCGUCCGGCUCCGAGCGUAGUAAUUCUUCUCGCUCUGGAGGUCCGGUCGUGUGCUCGCCAGCAACCCCCAAUAUUUUUCAGGUUGACCUCGGAUCAGGUAGGGAUACCCGCUGAACUUAAGCAUAUCAAUAAGCGGAGGA
rnacentral:misc_RNA from 1 species